AUCCAGCUAACGAGUCCCAAAUAGGACGAAACGCACGUCCUGGGU
rnacentral:hammerhead_ribozyme from 1 species